CGGUUACAUAACUCGUUGCGGGCUCCGCGCGGUCCCACUUCCCGGCUCCCUUCGCCUCCAGGAUGCGCUGAGCCCUACAACACCCCCAGCGGCCGCCGGCUCCCCCACGAGAUAUGAGCCCCAGACUGACAUCCCGCCUGACGUGGAUACUGAACAGGACCGAGUUUUCUUCAUUAAGGCAAUUGCCCAGUUCAUGGCCACCAAGGCACAUAUAAAACUCAACACUAAGAAGCUUUAUCAAGCAGAUGGGUAUGCGGUAAAAGAGCUGCUGAAGAUCACAUCUGUCCUUUAUAAUGCUAUGAAGACCAAGGGGAUGGAGGGCUCUGAAAUAGUAGAGGAAGAUGUCAACAAGUUCAAGUUUGAUCUUGGCUCAAAGAUUGCAGAUUUGAAGGCAGCCAGGCAGCUUGCGUCUGAAAUCACCUCCAAAGGAGCAUCUCUGUAUGACUUGCUCGGCAUGGAAGUAGAGUUGAGGGAAAUGAGAACAGAAGCCAUUGCCAGACCUCUGGAAAUAAACGAGACUGAAAAAGUG
ensembl:lncRNA novel transcript